UACGUAGGGGGCUAGCGUUGUCCGGAAUCAUUGGGCGUAAAGAGCGUGUAGGCGGCUCGGCAAGUCCGCUGUGAAAGUCGGGGGCUCAACCCUCGAAUGCCGGUGGAUACUGUCGGGCUAGAGUGCGGAAGAGGCGAGUGGAAUUCCUGGUGUAGCGGUGAAAUGCGCAGAUAUCAGGAGGAACACCGAUUGCGAAGGCAGCUCGCUGGGACGUAACUGACGCUGAGACGCGAAAGCGUGGGGAGCAAACAGG
rnacentral:rRNA from 1 species